rnacentral:rRNA from 1 species
AGUGAACGCUGGCGGUAGGCCUAACACAUGCAAGUCGAACGGCAGCACAGGAGAGCUUGCUCUCUGGGUGGCGAGUGGCGGACGGGUGAGGAAUACAUCGGAAUCUACCUUUUCGUGGGGGAUAACGUAGGGAAACUUACGCUAAUACCGCAUACGACCUACGGGUGAAAGUGGGGGACCGCAAGGCCUCACGCGAUUAGAUGAGCCGAUGUCCGAUUAGCUAGUUGGCGGGGUAAUGGCCCACCAAGGCGACGAUCGGUAGCUGGUCUGAGAGGAUGAUCAGCCACACUGGAACUGAGACACGGUCCAGACUCCUACGGGAGGCAGCAGUGGGGAAUAUUGGACAAUGGGCGCAAGCCUGAUCCAGCCAUACCGCGUGGGUGAAGAAGGCCUUCGGGUUGUAAAGCCCUUUUGUUGGGAAAGAAAUCCUGUCGAUUAAUACUCGGUGGGGAUGACGGUACCCAAAGAAUAAGCACCGGCUAACUUCAUG